AAAAGAAAAGGAGGUUCUCCUGUGGGUGUGUGUGUGUUAAUGGCAAAUCACUAGUAAGAUGAAGCGAUUGUUAGUACCACCAAAAUACUAUCAUUUUAAUCGAAAAAUAUAAUAAAUCUAAAUUUUAUCUUGGGAUUAAUCACUUUUGCUAGGUAAUAAGGGUGAAGAGGCAGAGUACCCUGGUGCAAUUCGUUUAAGCUUUUCAAGACGCUCUACUUCAAGAUUUUUUUUCCAGUUUUGAUAAUUUUCUGUUAAUUCUUCAUCUGUGGGUAAUUUGGUUGACAUAACAUCUACAUCUUCAAGAUUUAUUCGAGGCUAAAAUAGCUUGAUUAGUAUAUAAAUUGGCAUCCCAAACA